GAUGAACGCUGGCGGCGUGCCUAAUACAUGCAAGUCGAGCGAAUGGAUUAAGAGCUUGCUCUUAUGAAGUUAGCGGCGGACGGGUGAGUAACACGUGGGUAACCUGCCCAUAAGACUGGGAUAACUCCGGGAAACCGGGGCUAAUACCGGAUAACAUUUUGAACCGCAUGGUUCGAAAUUGAAAGGCGGCUUCGGCUGUCACUGAUGGAUGGACCCGCGUCGCAUUAGCUAGUUGGUGAGGUAACGGCUCACCAAGGCAACGAUGCGUAGCCGACCUGAGAGGGUGAUCGGCCACACUGGGCAUGAGACACGGCCCAGACUCCUACGGGAGGCAGCAGUAGGGAAUCUUCCGCAAUGGACGAAAGUCUGACGGAGCAACGCCGCGUGAGUGAUGAAGGCUUUCGGGUCGUAAAACUCUGUUGUUAGGGAAGAACAAGUGCUAGUUGAAUAAGCUGGCACCUUGACGGUACCUAACCAGAAAGCCACGGCUAACUACGUGCCAGCCGCCGCGGUAA
rnacentral:rRNA from 1 species